UGGCUCACUUUUGGCAGCUCAUAUACUAAAAUUAGAAUGAUAGAAGAUUAGCAUGGCCCCUGCACAGGGAUGACACACAAAUUCAUGAAGCAGUUCAUAGUAAA